rnacentral:rRNA from 1 species
UAGAGUUUGAUCAUGGCUCAGAACGAACGCUGGCGGCGUGCCUAACACAUGCAAGUCGAGCGUGAAAGUCCCUUCGGGGGCGAGUAAAGCGGCAGACGGGUGAGUAAUACAUAGGUAAUCUACCUUCGAGAUUGGGAUAACCCCGCGAAAGUGGGGCUAAUACCGGAUAAGACCACGUGACUUACGUUGCGCGGUAAAAGGUGGCUUUUUCUUCGGAUGAGGCUAUCACUUGAGGAUGAGCCUAUGGCCUAUCAGCUAGUUGGCGGGGUAAGAGCCCACCAAGGCUAUGACGGGUAGUUGGUCUGAGAGGACGACCAACCACACUGGAACUGAGACACGGUCCAGACUCCUACGGGAGGCAGCAGUGGGGAAUAUUGGGCAAUGGGUGAAAGCCUGACCCAGCGACGCCGCGUGGGUGAUGAAGGCCUUCGGGUUGUAAAGCCCUGUCAUGCGGAAAGAACAGUUUCAUGGCUAAUAUCCAUGAGAUUUGACGGUACCGCAGGAGGAAGCACCGGCUAACUCCGUGCCAGCAGCCGCGGUAAUACGGAGGGUGCAAGCGUUGUUCGGAAUUAUUGGGCGUAAAGGGCGCGUAGGCGGUAAUGAAAGUCAGAUGUGAAAUACUUCGGCUCAACUGAAGAACUGCAUCUGAAAC